AUUGAACGCUGGCGGCAUGCCUUACACAUGCAAGUCGAACGGCAGCACGGGAGCAAUCCUGGUGGCGAGUGGCGAACGGGUGAGUAAUAUAUCGGAACGUGCCCAGUCGUGGGGGAUAACGUAGCGAAAGCUACGCUAAUACCGCAUACGAUCUAUGGAUGAAAGCGGGGGAUCGCAAGACCUCGCGCGAUUGGAGCGGCCGAUAUCAGAUUAGGUAGUUGGUGAGGUAAAGGCUCACCAAGCCGACGAUCUGUAGCUGGUCUGAGAGGACGACCAGCCACACUGGGACUGAGACACGGCCCAGACUCCUACGGGAGGCAGCAGUGGGGAAUUUUUGGACAAUGGGCGCAAGCCUGAUCCAGCAAUGCCGCGUGCAGGA
rnacentral:rRNA from 1 species